GCUGCGUGGUGGGCGUUGGCAAUGUCCGCAGUUCCGGGGGGCCGGCGCUCCAUGCAGGGCCCCACAAACCCCAGGCCCUGGUUCCCAGGCGGCGGUGGCGGCGGCAGCAGUUUUGAAGCCCGAAUCCCAGGUUGCACGACAGAUGAAUAAUGUACCCGGACACCGAUAUUCAGUGAGAAAGCAGCUAGGAGUCUGAGUCACUCACAGUCACCAAGGAAGAUGCUGUAAAGAGUCAGCAGCCAACGCCCUGACUAGCUGGCCCUGUGGGCAUUUAUUCAGCACAGAUUUAAUGACAAAGGCUUUGAGUCAACACACCUGUGGAUAAUUAAUCUGGUCGCCUCCACCCUGGGAGAGCUAUCUUGCCGUUUCUCAAAGUGAUCAAUCCAGACCUCUGCCGUAUGUAACCCCCUCCUGGUGACCACCUCCCUGUGGGACAGCUGGAUGCAACCUACCUGACUCACCCUGAUGACUCCCACACCACGUAUGGACUGUGCAGAUAUGUCACAAUGACCACCUCUCAGUCGCAGUGUGACUCCAUGGAGCUGGUGCUUGCUUUCUCUAAACUCAAUUAGGACUCCCCUUGGGAAACCUGCCUUGGUAAUGUCCUGGACCCCAAAGCCUCUGCCCACAAGUCCCUCUCUCUUGCUCCCCAUCCAGAGGUUGAGUGUGUGUUUCCUGAAUGACUCUCUUCUUCCCAUCAGUCCUGGUGAUGUGUCCUGCCCUUUUCUCUCUAGAUUUGUAAGUAAUAAACUGCUUCUGUUA